GUUUUAAUAGUUUAACUAAAACAUUGAUUUUGUAAAUCAAAAUUAAGAAACUUCUUUUAAAACU
rnacentral:tRNA from 1 species